AAUGUGAAAAAGUAAGUAAGGUCAAAUAAGUAUUAGUGUGAGGAGAGAUGGAGUCGUACACCCUUCAUCCUCCCUAAAAAAUUUCUCUCAAAACCUCUCUUUCUCCCUCCAAUACCGCUUUUGUUUUUCUCUUCUGGUCUUCUAUGCGGGUAGUUUAGAUCUACUAGUAAUCAGUUAAUUUGAUUUCUUUAAGUCUUUUCUACUGCUUUUUCAUUUACUUAAGGGUCUUUCAUGUGUUGUUGAGCUAUUUUCUGUAGACUUGUCUCUUUGUCUUUCCAUUUGGUUGAUUGUUUCCCACUUAGUUGUAGCAAGUCUUGGCUGUUUUCUCUUCGUGUUAUUGUGAAUUUAAGUUUCCACAUUUGUGUUAUGUCUUUGAGAAUCAAACUUUCUUUGUUUCUCUGUUCAUUUGAUUUUUUAACUCUUUAAUCUGUUUUUCUGAUCCCCUUUUAAUCUCCUUUUAUCUUUUCCUCUCGUGCCUUAUUUUCUUUUUAUUCUUGUCCAUGGAGGUUGAUUUGAUUAGUCAGAUGUCCAAUAGUAUCGAUCUAUACUUUGCUUCCCAGAACCCCUCUGUUGAUUCCUCUUAUGAUAUUAACUUCCUAUGUAAUCUUUUCGUUGGUCUUACCAUUUCCGGUGAUGAUCUCAGCACCGGCCUGGUUACGCAUCAUAGCCCUUUGUGUGUCACUGAAUCUAUUAAGAGUUAUAACUGUUAUCCGGUAACCGGGAUUAAUUACUACGAUGACCUAGCUCUAAGUCAAUUCAUCGGCGAGUGUUUGGUCAAGUAUAGGAUUGAUCAGAGUUAAUUCUUGGGUCAAGUCAACAGUGGGAUCUGGUCAAGGUCAAGCGAAGGGUCAAGUCAAUGGCUGGACCGGUCAACUCAAUGGGUUAGUCAAGCUUCUUAAGAUUGAGUUUAUCCGCGAUGAUGCUUCACAACUUACCAUGAUCUGGCUGUUGAAAAUGUUGAUAUGGUCAGCUUCUUAAGAUUGAGUUUAUCCGCGAUGAUGCUUCACAACUUACCAUGAUCUGGCUGUUGAAAAUGUUGAUAUCUCUAGACAAAUUAGACUUGGAUUUUAUCUAUUUUUUCUUGAUUGUAAAUGUCUAAAUAAGUUGGUUCUGAAGAAGUAUGUUGUCAGUCGUAUGCUUAUCGUGGAGGGUGAAUUUGGUCUAUGGUUUUCUUGUUCUGAAUGUUUAUGGAGUAGUUAUUUUCAUUUGGAUGAUAUCUAUUAUUGGUUAAAAAUGUUUACGAGAAAUAGCUACUUAGUGCAA